GGAUGAACGCUGGCGGCGUGCCUAAUACAUGCAAGUCGAGCGAACAGAUAAGGAGCUUGCUCCUUUGACGUUAGCGGCGGACGGGUGAGUAACACGUGGGUAACCUACCUAUAAGACUGGAAUAACUCCGGGAAACCGGGGCUAAUGCCGGAUAAUAUUUAGAACCGCAUGGUUCUAAAGUGAAAGAUGGUUUUGCUAUCACUUAUAGAUGGACCCGCGCCGUAUUAGCUAGUUGGUGGGGUAAUGGCUUACCAAGGCAACGAUACGUAGCCGACCUGAGAGGGUGAUCGGCCACACUGGAACUGAGACACGGUCCAGACUCCUACGGGAGGCAGCAGUAGGGAAUCUUCCGCAAUGGGCGAAAGCCUGACGGAGCAACGCCGCGUGAGUGAUGAAGGUCUUCGGAUCGUAAAACUCUGUUAUUAGGGAAGAACAAAUGUGUAAGUAACUGUGCACGUCUUGACGGUACCUAAUCAGAAAGCCACGGCUAACUACGUGCCAGCAGCCGCGGUAAUA
rnacentral:rRNA from 1 species